UACGGGGGGAGCAAGCGUUGUUCGGAUUUACUGGGCGUAAAGGGCGCGUAGGCGGUCAGCACAAGUCAGUUGUGAAAUCUCCGAGCUUAACUCGGAAAGGUCAACUGAUACUGUGCGACUAGAGUGCGGAAGGGGCAACUGGAAUUCUUGGUGUAGCGGUGAAAUGCGUAGAUAUCAAGAGGAACACCUGCGGCGAAGGCGGCCAUCUGGACGGUGACUGACGCUGAGACGCGAAAGCGUGGGUAGCAAGCAGG
rnacentral:rRNA from 1 species